rnacentral:tRNA from 1 species
GUGUCCUGCAAGUCUUA